rnacentral:rRNA from 1 species
AUGGCCUACUUCGAUGAGAAAGUGAAGGAAGAUCCAGAUUUCUUCUACAGGAUAAGGUUGGACGAUGAGGACCGUGUCAGGAACAUGUAUUGGGUGGAUGGUGCUGCAAGGAGAGCCUACAAACAUUUCCGAGAUUGCAUUUCAUUCGACACGACGUACCUCACCAAUAUGUACAAGAUGCCAUGCGCUCCGUUCAUAGGAAUAAAUAACCACAAUCAGUCGUUGCAGUUCGGCUGCGGGCUCGUCCGGAACAAAGACACGGAUGUGUACGUUUGGCUGUUCAAGACCUUCUUGGAGUGCAUGGAUGGACUUGCUCCGAUGAACAUAAUAACAGACCAAGAUUUCAACAUGCGUGCAGGCAUAGAGGAGGUCUUUCCGUUGGCAGUGCACAGGCACUGCAGGUGGCACAUUAUAAAGAAGGCUGAGGAGACGCUAGGACCGUUCUUUGCUGACCGUCCAGAGCUGCACAAGGCAUUCGAGCUGUGCGUGGACCACAGCUUGACGGUGGAGGAGUUUGAAAGGAGCUGGAUGGCCAUGAUUAAAACACAUCAAGUCCAAGACAACGAGACUCUUGUUACCCUGUGGGAGAAGCAAAUGUACUGGGUGUCGGCCUACUUCAUGCAGUGCUUCUUCCCCUUUAUGCAGACUACGCAGCACAGCGAGGGGUUUAAUGCUAUUUUGAAGCGGUACGUCAGCCCUGGCAACUCAUUGCUAUAG